CCUACGGGUGGCUGCAGUGGGGAAUAUUGGGCAAUGGAGGCAACUCUGACCCAGCCAUGCCGCGUGGGUGACGAAGGUCUUCGGAUUGUAAAGCCCUUUCGGCGGGGACGAUGAUGACGGUACCCGCAGAAGAAGCCCCGGCUAACUUCGUGCCAGCAGCCGCGGUAAUACGAAGGGGGCUAGCGUUGUUCGGAAUUACUGGGCGUAAAGGGCGUGUAGGCGGCCCGUUAAGACAGGUGUGAAAUUCCUGGGCUAAACCCAGGACGGGCGCCUGUGACUGGCGGGCUGGAGUCCGGGAGAGGAUGGUGGAACUCCCAGUGUAGAGGUGAAAUUCGUAGAUAUUGGGAAGAACACCCGUGGCGAAGGCGGCCAUCUGGACCGGUACUGACGCUAAGGCGCGACAGCGUGGGGAGCAAACAGGAUUAGAUACCCUAGUAGUC
rnacentral:rRNA from 1 species